rnacentral:rRNA from 1 species
UNGAGUGCAGAAGGGGAGAGUGGAAUUCCAUGUGUAGCGGUGAAAUGCGUAGAUAUAUGGAGGAACACCAGUGGCGAAAGCGGCUCUCUGGUCUGUCACUGACGCUGAGGCUNGAAAGCGUGGGUAGCGAACAGGAUUAGAUACCCUGGUAGUCCACGCCGUAAACGAUGAGUGCUAGGUGUUAGGCCCUUUCCGGGGCUUAGUGCCGGAGCUAACGCAAUAAGCACUCCGCCUGGGGAGUACGACCGCAAGGUUGAAACUCAAAGGAAUUGACGGGGGCCCGCACAAGCGGUGGAGCAUGUGGUUUAAUUCGAAGCAACGCGAAGAACCUUACCAGGUCUUGACAUCCCGAUGCUAUUCUUAGAGAUAGGAAGUUACUUCGGUACAUCGGAGACAGGUGGUGCAUGGUUGUCGUCAGCUCGUGUCGUGAGAUGUUGGGUUAAGUCCCGCAACGAGCGCAACCCUUAUUGUUAGUUGCCAUCAUUAAGUUGGGCACUCUAGCGAGACUGCCGGUAAUAAACCGGAGGAAGGUGGGGAUGACGUCAAAUCAUCAUGCCCCUUAUGACCUGGGCUACACACGUGCUACAAUGGUCGGUACAACGAGUUGCGAGCCGGUGACGGCAAGCUAAUCUCUGAAAGCCGAUCUCAGUUCGGAUUGGAGGCUGCAACUCGCCUCCAUGAAGUCGGAAUCGCUAGUAAUCGCGGAUCAGCACGCCGCGGUGAAUACGUUCCCGGGCCUUGUACACACCGCCCGUCACACCACGAGAGUUUGUAACACCCGANGUCGGUGAGGUAACCUUUUAGGGNCCA